ensembl:lncRNA
CUUCAUGGGAAAAGGGAAGCAUCUUUCAUCUGUGGUUCUGUGUCUGGUACCUCUUGCAGCUAGUGCUGGGGGUUGAGCAGCAAGCAGUCCUGAAGGAUUAAUGCCUUUGGGAUGGCAAAGGCCAGGUCUCUUCAGGAAGAGGACUGGCUGCAGCACAUGCCAGCCACCACUCUGCUCAGCUCAAUGGCUGUUUGCUGGUGCUGUAUUUACAAAAUCAAUUAACAGUGGCAAUAAAUGAUUGGAGAAGUUUAAACUUCUGGUCUUGUGGAAGAACGAAUCCUUCAGGAGGAGCACGUGGAGUUCUGUGAAAAGCUUUAUUGAACUCAAAGGUGAUGUGGAGCAGUGGAUGAGGGUUUGCCUUCUGAUCGAAGCCAGCAGGUGGCUGUAAUAUAAAUUAUAAGAUCUACAGGUUCUCCGGUGAAUCUGUUGUCCCUUAUGCUCAUUACAGCCAUAAAUACUUGAAUGAUGUAAUUACUAAAGCCAGUUAAAAGGAAGAUUGACUGAAAAUGAAGAAGCCUCCAUUGAUUGUUAUAAGAGAUGCCAGCCCUUGGGGAAGGUAAAAUGGAUGCAGAACUGUGGCCACGGAGUGAAGUCAUUGGUGGAGUCUCACACAAGUCAAGGCUGUUUGCUAUACCCAUGCAUGAUCUGGGAGAGUGAGCAGUGAGUUGAGAAAAAUCAUCAGAGAAUGCUUAGGGAUGAGGAAGUUAAGGGUUGACUGCAAGGGGCUGCAGAAGGACUUUAUGACACUGACUGAAUGAGGAAAUAGCUAGUAAAAUACAGUGCAGAUAAGUGAGACAUUUGAUAAGGAAGUGGGGAAGCAAUCCCUAUUUUAUAUACUGCAUUGGGUACCAAGUUGUUGAUUGCCAAGCAGGAAUGAGUUCUGGGUUUAUGGAGCUGUGAAAUACUCUCAAUUUGCAUUAAAAAAAAAAAAAAAGGCAAUUCCUUAAAAUCCAUUGUAUCUAGUCAAAACAGUCGUUCCAGUUCGCAGGUAUAGGUAUGUACCCCAACCUACCCAGUGAAGUCUGAAUGCUGACAUUGAUCAAUCAGCCUUGUGUUUCCCAUAUAAGCUUGUUGCUGUCAAGUCGCUGUCACUCCGCUUCUCAGUUGUACUGUAUCUGCCUAAGGUGUAGGGAAAGGGGUCAGCCUGAGACAUGAAUUCAGUGUAUAAACUUAAUCUCUUGGUGCAUCCCCUUCCAUACCAGUUGGUACUGGUACCUACAUAUUGGAUUGGACCAUAGCCUGUGUUUGGAGAACCAAAGAAACUGUGGCGUCCUCUUGUUUAUAAUGGUUUUUGGUUUACAUAUCGAUACUGGGAGGUUUCAGGUGCUAAUAAGCAUUUUGACAGCACUGUUCUUUGCAAUUGCUGGGGUGGACUGCCGUUUCUUCUGCUUUGCCACAGGCAAUUCAUUCACUGCCUGCAGUGAUAGUCACUGACCAUUCAUUAGGUUUAUGUUCCAGAUUCCGUGAUGUAACUUUUCUGCUGACAUGGCCUUGGGAAACACUUGUUUCCCUUGUAGGCCACUCUUUACCUACAUGGCAGAGUGCUUAUUUAGAGCUCAAUAGGACUUUUUCUCAUUUUUGGAGGGCGUAGAGCAUGGGAAAGUCAUAUGCCCGUCCAUAUAGGUCAUCCAUUUCGCACUCCAUACCAGAAAAAGACAAUGUGAGGAACAUGCCUUGAAAACAAGAGUUGCUUGAAGAAAGCAUCUGUGGCUCCUCUCUUUAUUAGUGUGCUUCUUGCUGUGAAGAUUGCAUGAGCGUGGUGGGGAGAAAGGAGCUGGAUAUGUUCCUGUGCCUUUUGCAGGUGACUGAUGGAUCUCUGCAAGGUGCAGUUCAGCUGGGGCCUGAUGGGAGCUGGAGCACAGAGGACGUGAGGAGAGAAUGGCUCAGCAUCUUCCCUGACCAGGUUUUCAGGACUUCUGCUAAGGUGGCAGACACAACCUGGGCGACCACCAGUGGAUCAGCUUGUAAGAAGAAGAUGGAUUGUAUGGGGCAGUACCUUAUUUUCUGGGGAUGAUACUCAGCUUCAAGAAGAACAAACUAUGAAGCACACUGAAUGUGCAUUGCCGUGAUGCCUGUGUCUAAAGCCUUGUGCUAUGGCAAACUUCAGACCUGAAAGAAAUCCUAUUGUUUGUCGAUGGGAGAGGCCCCAGCUCAGCUUUAAUCAGUAAUUAAAACCAAGCUCAUGUCAUAAAUCUCUUGGCAUCCUGAGCGAAGCUGGUGUUCCCUGAGAAUGAAGGUGGAGCAAGAACUCACCCUCAUCAAGUCUGCAGCUGACACCAAGCUGGGGACAGCCAUCAUCAU